rnacentral:rRNA from 1 species
UGCUAAUACAUGCAAGUCGAGCGGACAGAUGGGAGCUUGCUCCCUGAUGUUAGCGGCGGACGGGUGAGUAACACGUGGGUAACCUGCCUGUAAGACUGGGAUAACUCCGGGAAACCGGGGCUAAUACCGGAUGGUUGUUUGAACCGCAUGGUUCAGACAUAAAAGGUGGCUUCGGCUACCACUUACAGAUGGACCCGCGGCGCAUUAGCUAGUUGGUGAGGUAACGGCUCACCAAGGCGACGAUGCGUAGCCGACCUGAGAGGGUGAUCGGCCACACUGGGACUGAGACACGGCCCAGACUCCUACGGGAGGCAGCAGUAGGGAAUCUUCCGCAAUGGACGAAAGUCUGACGGAGCAACGCCGCGUGAGUGAUGAAGGUUUUCGGAUCGUAAAGCUCUGUUGUUAGGGAAGAACAAGUGCCGUUCAAAUAGGGCGGCACCUUGACGGUACCUAACCAGAAAGCCACGGCUAACUACGUGCCAGCAGCCGCGGUAAUACGUAGGUGGCAAGCGUUGUCCGGAAUUAUUGGGCGUAAAGGGCUCGCAGGCGGUUUCUUAAGUCUGAUGUGAAAGCCCCCGGCUCAACCGGGGAGGGUCAUUGGAAACUGGGGAACUUGAGUGCAGAAGAGGAGAGUGGAAUUCCACGUGUAGCGGUGAAAUGCGUAGAGAUGUGGAGGAACACCAGUGGCGAAGGCGACUCUCUGGUCUGUAACUGACGCUGAGGAGCGAAAGCGUGGGGAGCGAACAGGAUUAGAUAC